CUUAGUUGUACUAUGGGAUGUGAUGGUUGUCAACAACUGGUAUAUUUUUCUCAACGCAUAUAGUACUUCAAUGAAAAACAGAUACACACAGUUUUAUUUUGUAUUAUGGUGGCUUACAUCUGUUGUUAUUUGCAUUAAUUUAUUUGUUGCAUUGGUCAUUGAGGCUUUUAUAACACAAUGGGAUCAACAUCAAGAGAUAGUAAAUGAGAUGAAGCACAAAAA
rnacentral:lncRNA from 1 species